rnacentral:rRNA from 1 species
UGGCGGCACUAGCGCGGUGGUCCCACCUGACCCCAUGCCGAACUCAGAAGUGAAACGCAAAAAAAAAAGCGGCACUAGCGCGGUGGUCCCACCUGACCCCAUGCCGCGCCAGGCA